UAAAAUAAAUGACAAAUUUAUUGAAAAAUAAGGACGCAAUACUGAGGGUCUAAGCCUAAGGGUAUGACAGCCGGUUGCAUAU
rfam:Clostridiales bacterium Nov_37_41 Ley3_66761_scaffold_825, whole genome shotgun sequence.